rnacentral:rRNA from 1 species
GACGAACGCUGGCGGCGUGCUUAACACAUGCAAGUCGAACGGAAAGGCCCUGCUUUUGUGGUGUGCUCGAGUGGCGAACGGGUGAGUAACACGUGAGUAACCUGCCCUUGACUUUGGGAUAACUUCAGGAAACUGGGGCUAAUACCGGAUAGGAGCUCCUGCUGCAUGGUGGGGGUUGGAAAGUUUCGGCGGUUGGGGUUGGACUCGCGGCUUAUCAGCUUGUUGGUGGGGUAGUGGCUUACCAAGGCUUUGACGGGUAGCCGGCCUGAGAGGGUGACCGGCCACAUUGGGACUGAGAUACGGCCCAGACUCCUACGGGAGGCAGCAGUGGGGAAUAUUGCACAAUGGGCGGAAGCCGGAUGCAGCAACGCCGCGUGCGGGAUGACGGCCUUCGGGUUGUAAACCGCUUUCGCCUGUGACGAAGCGUGAGUGACGGUAAUGGGUAAAGAAGCACCGGCUAACUACGUG